GUCUAGUUAGUUUAGUUUGGUCAGAAUAUCGGUCUCAUAUUUCCAAUAUGAUUCAGUCAAAGACUGAGUGAUCCGAAGGUCGUGAGUUCGAGUCUCACACUGGACA